rnacentral:rRNA from 1 species
GUUAUUGUUUAUUUGAUACAACAAAUGGAUAACUGUAGAAAAACUAGAGCUAAUACAUGCUUUAACCGCAAGGUUGUAUUUAUUAGAUAUUCCGGAUUGGUGAAUCAUAAUAACUUCGCAAAUCUCGUUUAUGACGAGAUAAAUCAUCCAAGUUUCUGCCCUAUCAUGCUUUCGAUGGUAGUGUAUUGGACUACCAUGGCUCUCACGGGUAACAGGGAAUUAGGGUUCGAUUCUGGAGAAGGAGCCUGAGAAACGGCUACUACAUCUACGGAAGGCAGCAGGCGCGUAAAUUACCCAAUCCUGACUCAGGGAGGUGGUGACAAGAUAUAACAACGCGAUCAAAAUCGCGAUUGUAGUGAGGGUAUUCUAAACAGAACCUAUAGUACGAUUAGAGGGCAAGUCUGGUGCCAGCAGCCGCGGUAAUUCCAGCUCUAAUAGCGUAUAUUAAAGUUGCUGCAGUUAAAAAGCUCGUAGUUGGAUUUCAAGGACUGUAGACCCCUCUGGGGAAUACAUCCUACUAGUCAUUGACUGUUACUGUGAGAAAAUUAGAGUGUUUCAAGCAGGCUUUCGCAAGAAUACAUUAGCAUGGAAUAACGAAUGUAUUUAGAAUCUUGGUUAAUUCUAAAUUACGAUUAAUAGAGACAGUUGGGGGCAUUAGUAUUUAAUUGUCAGAGGUGAAAUUCUUGGAUUUGUUAAAGACUAACGUAUGCGAAAGCAUUUG